GCCGGACCCCCGAGCCCUGCCCGCCCCUCGCUGGGGGUGGGGGGCUUGGGAGGACCUCGCCGCCCCGCGAAAAAAUGGAGCGGAGUAAAUCCCCGAGGUCUGCAAACCGCACGGAGCCGCUUCUCCCCCGCCGGCGGCCUCCUCCUUCUUGGGGGCUGGCAAAGAGGAGCGGCUCCUUUCCGGAUUGCCUUCGCUUCCCUCCAGAUACUGGAUACGGGGCUUAGGCUGGCCGGCUCCAGCUACACAUGCCAAGUGGUUCCUGGGUCUUAGUGCCCUGCGAUCAGGUGAUGCUACUUCCAAGACGCCGGGCAUACAACCAUCUGGAAAAUACGAAAUCAUUUCUAUAGGCCCAUUUAUGUCAACUACCAGGGAGACUGGGGGAAAUCCGGGCAAAAUAAAAACAAGGAAGGGGUUUUUACCCAAAA